rnacentral:rRNA from 1 species
UAACACUAACUGGAGGACCGAACCGACUAAUGUUGAAAAAUUAGCGGAUGACUUGUGGCUGGGGGUGAAAGGCCAAUCAAACCGGGAGAUAGCUGGUUCUCCCCGAAAGCUAUUUAGGUAGCGCCUCGUGAAUUCAUCUCCGGGGGUAGAGCACUGUUUCGGCAAGGGGGUCAUCCCGACUUACCAACCCGAUGCAAACUGCGAAUACCGGAGAAUGUUAUCACGGGAGACACACGGCGGGUGCUAACGUCCGUCGUGAAGAGGGAAACAACCCAGACCGCCAGCUAAGGUCCCAAAGUCAUGGUUAAGUGGGAAACGAUGUGGGAAGGCCCAGACAGCCAGGAUGUUGGCUUAGAAGCAGCCAUCAUUUAAAGAAAGCGUAAUAGCUCACUGGUCGAGUCGGCCUGCGCGGAAGAUGUAACGGGGCUAAACCAUGCACCGAAGCUGCGGCAGCGACGCUGAUGCGUUGUUGGGUAGGGGAGCGUUCUGUAAGCCUG